GAUGAAGAACGCAGCGAAAUGCGAUACGUAAUGUGAAUUGCAAAUUCAGUGAAUCAUCGAGUCUUUGAACGCACAUUGCGCCCCCUGGUAUUCCGGGGGGCAUGCCUGUCCGAGCGUCAUUGCUGCCCUCAAGCACGGCUUGUGUGUUGGGCCCCGUCCUCCGAUCCCGGGGGACGGGCCCGAAAGGCAGCGGCGGCACCGCGUCCGGUCCUCGAGCGUAUGGGGCUUUGUCACCCGCUCUGUAGGCCCGGCCGGCGCUUGCCGAUCAACCCAAAUUUUUAUCCAGGUUGACCUCGGAUCAGGUAGGGAUACCCGCUGAACUUAAGCAUAUCAAUAAGGGAGGA
rnacentral:misc_RNA from 1 species